rnacentral:tRNA from 1 species
UGAGGUAUGGUGUAAUGGUAACACUGCAGAUUUUGGUUCUGUCAUUGUAGGUUCAAGUCCUGCUACCUCAA